rnacentral:rRNA from 1 species
UACGUAGGGGGCUAGCGUUGUCCGGAAUCAUUGGGCGUAAAGAGCGUGUAGGCGGCUCGGUAAGUCCGCUGUGAAAGUCCAGGGCUCAACCCUGGAAUGCCAGUGGAAACUGUCGAGCUAGAGUCCGGAAGAGGCGAGUGGAAUUCCUGGUGUAGCGGUGAAAUGCGCAGAUAUCAGGAGGAACACCAAUGGCGAAGGCAGCUCGCUGGGACGGUACUGACGCUGAGAAGCGAAAGCAUGGGGAGCGAACAGG